rnacentral:lncRNA from 1 species
UAAACAGGUGACUCGUGGAUCGGAAUCCCAAAUUUAGACUGCUGGUACAAUUAGCACCCCCUUUCGCGUCGGACUCGUCUGCAAUAUGAGCUGCGGCCACCACACCCGCCGCUUCCUCGUCCUCUUCAUCUUGUUCGUCGUCGUUGCGGUGGCGGCGAGCGGGGACGGGAGCGCGUACGAGGUGCUGCGGUCGCACGGGCUGCCCAUCGGGUUGCUGCCCAAGGGGGUGCGGGAGUUUUACGUGGACGGGGAGGGGCGGUUCGAGGCGCGGCUGGACGCGCCGUGCACGGCCAAGUUCGAGAGCGAGGUGCGCUACAACGCCAGCGUGGCGGGCACCAUCUCGCCCGGCCAGAUCGACGGCCUCUCCGGCAUCGCUGCCCAGGACCUCUUCCUCUGGUUCCCCGUCCGCGCCAUCCGCCUCGACGACCAGGCCUCCGGCAUCAUCCACUUCGACGUUGGCGUCGUCGACAAGCGCUUCCCCCUCUCCCUCUUCGAGUACCCGCCCGACUGCACCCCCGUCGCGUCGUCCUCUCGCCCUCUCCGCGAGGGCUC